AGAAGUCACCCUUAUAACUACGCCAGGAACAAGAGACUCAUUUACAGUUGUGUCUUUAAACCCUAUGAGGACACAGGUGUUCAGCAGGGAAGGACACCAGAAUCAUCCCAAAAACAGGGAAAGAUCAUCCCUUCUAUUCCAAAAUUUGUUUCCAUGCACAAUACUGUUAUUGCAAAGGGGCAGAGGGAUGAUCUUCAGUUUGAGUUUUAGAGUACUUCAGAUCUCUAGGCAUUAUUAUACUUUCUCCCAUUACUCCUGUCACACCCUAGUGUAGUUCUACCAUUUAGCCAGAAGGUGGAGCACUGUCAAUAGCUGGGUUGUAUUCUUUGGACAACACAGAGAGAACAGGUCUUCACCAACUGCAAUAGCAGAAAUUUGGGUUUUGAGCCUAAAAACCGGGGUUUCAUUUCUUCAUACAGUUUAAAACACACAUACAAAGAAGAUAAGGCUCACAUUAAAAUUAGCAAAGAAGAGGUCUUAAGCAGGGAAAGAAAAAAAAAAAGAUAGACUCUGCGACUAAAGAAUUAGAGAGAGAUAAACAAACAUACAAGUUUAUUAGCAGAGUGGUUUCCGAUGGUACUAUUAACACCCUAGCUCAUGGGCAUGAUUUAGGAAACUAUAGGAACCAGACAGGUGUCUCUGGUUGGACUCUAGGAGAGAUUUAGGCUAUAUAUCAAGCCUUUUCUUGUCCCUGGGUUUUAUGCUGGGCAAUUAUCUCAAUUUAAUUUCAUUUUGUGAAGACACCAGGCCAAACACAUGGCAGACUACUGGUGCAGAACUGACAGCUGUCAGUUUGUAGCUCAUAUGGUUUACAACAUGACUUUCCCCUUGUUCCAACUCCCUUCCCUACCAAUUUAUUUCAGUCCUGGCUUGCGACUCCCUUUCUGUCCAAGCCCUCGACUCCCCCACAGUUCUACCUCUGACCCUACCUGCAGCAUUUCUCAAUAGUUUGACUCUAUCUAGGCCUCUCCUCUGUCCAAAGAAUGCCCACUGUGCCAAACUGUAGAUACAUUUUAUAGUAUAGACCAACACCAGCUACCUGCAGUGACCAUAUUUCUUUCCAUGGCUAUGCGGCCUGGGCUUUUUCUUUUUUUUUUUUGGUCUGUGUCUAUGAUGCAAGUUGAUUACAUAAACUCUGACCACAAGCCGUUCAAGGCUGCUUAGGUUAAUCACUCAUUUCACUCUCAUGAGGGAAAGCCUGAAAUUUCCUCUCAGCCUCGUGAGCUGGAGAAUUCCCCAUGAGACUACAGAGGAAACCGAAAACCAGCAAGGCUUGGAGGAAGUGGGGCAACAGCAUGGACAGGCCUGCAUAAAGCAUCAUGCUCGUGCUAUACCGAAACAAUCUUGCCCCAUCUGCCAUCACUUGGGGAGCUUCAUUCAUUGCUCAGAACAAACUAAAAAAACACAUUUCUUGCCAGGAAGUGAGAGUGGUUGCAGGCAGUGCAGAAACAAGACAGGGCUUUUGACAGUACAACAUACCUUUCAGAAGACAUUACAGUUGCAAUGUGCUAGGUGGGGGUGGGGGAAGAGACAAGGGAAACUGUCACAGGAAAUGAAUUAAGGGAACAUUAAUCCCUUCUCCUGUGUGCAUUAGAUAAUGAGCUUUAAUAAUUUACAGGCUGAACACCGUCCUCCCUGCUGCCUUUCUCCCCUCCACGUGCAGCAACUGUGAUGCCAUUCACAGGGUCACUGCGUGGUGCAAGUACAGGCAGUGAGAAGUGCCUGCUGUCACUAAGAUGAAGCUUUACCAGACCAGCCAAGGGGAGAGAGCCCUACUCUCCCUGCUCCUCUAUGAAUCUUCCCCACUGCCCGCCUGUUGUGUAAGGAGAGAAGAGAUGUGCAAGGUACCAAUUCGGCCUGCAUCCUGUAGCUGGA